rnacentral:rRNA from 1 species
UACUAGAGUAGCACUCGCAUAUCAAUAAGCGGAGGAAAAGAAACUAACAAGGAUUCCCCUAGUAACGGCGAGUGAAGCGGGAAGAGCUCAAAUUUGAAAUCUUAAAGGGUUUCCCUUUACGAAUUGUAGUUUAAAGAAGUGUUUUCUGUUGAGGUUUUGGUAAAAGUUCUUUGGAAUAGGACAUCAUAGAGGGUGAGAAUCCCGUAUUUGACCUUUACUUUCAACUUUGUGAUACACCUUCAAAGAGUCGGAUUGUUUGGGAAUGCAGUCCAAAAUGGGUGGUAAAUUUCAUCUAAAGCUAAAUAUUGGCGAGAGACCGAUAGCGAACAAGUACCGUGAGGGAAAGAUGAAAAGAACUUUGAAAAGAGAGUUAAACAGUACGUGAAAUUGUCAAAAGGGAAGCGUUUGACACCAGUGUUGUUUUUCUGAAAAUCAAUUAAAGAACUGUUUAUGCUAAGUUGUUUAGACUUUAUCAGCUAUCUGUUUAGUUUUGAGCUUUUCUUUAAUGCACUUUUCAGUUAACAAGUCAACAUCAAUUUCUUUUGCUGUAAAAAAGCUUGAGGAAGGUGGCUUGAGAUUCGUCUUAAGUGUUUAUAGCCUCUUGCCUAUGCAGUCGGAGAGACUGAGGUCUGCAGCGUAGAUCCUUCGGGGCUAAAUGCAUUUGUGCUAAGUUAUAGCAUUUUAUAGACAACUUGUUGACUAUGAUUUGUCUUGUAGCUUACUCGCUUAUGUUAUUUUACCUACGCUUAGGAUGUUGAACUCUAUCACACACAG